CGGCGCCCGGCGCGACCAUUCGCUGCGGCGCAUCCCGGCAGCCACCGCGGCGACUGGGCGGCGGGUGCCAUGCGCCUGAAGCUCCACAUUCUCAGCUCCCGCCCACCGCGCCCGCCUUCCUCUGCGGUCACGCCUCCGGCGGUGUGCACCUGCCGAGCAGGUCAAGAAAUAAAACACUGCCAGCACCCCAGAGAUCCCCUGUGCCCUCUCCCAAUCAUUUCACCCUUCCUUCUUGCCAAAGAUGGCAGCACAGAUGGAAAAAUCCCAGAAAACCUCGGAGCCAGCUGGCUUCAGCAGCAGCAAACAGCUAUCAACAGCCUGCCCCCAACUCACUCUUCCUUUUUUCAAAAUGAACACAACCUAAAAGGAUCUAACUGCUCUUCAUCUUCACAAGUAACUUUAUAUGCAUGAUGUCAGUUAACCUCACAACAACCGUCAUGUCACAGAUGAGGAAACUGAUGUCAGUGAGAUUAAUCAACUUCCCCAGGAUCACACAGCCAA
rnacentral:lncRNA from 1 species